rnacentral:misc_RNA from 1 species
GAUUCACGUCUGCUCCUCUUAAAUACAUUGGCUGGAUCUCAGUGAGCUCGGUUCCACUCGGCGUGAUAAGUAUCAAUCGCUGAGGACACUGUAAAAGGUGGCCGGGGUUGCGGACGAACCGCUUCUAAUGGUCCAUUUGCUUUGACAAAACUACUUUAUGAUCUGAUCUCAAAUCAGGUAGGACUACCCGCUGAACUUAA